GUGGGGAAUUUUGGACAAUGGGCGCAAGCCUGAUCCAGCAAUGCCGCGUGCAGGAAGAAGGCCUUCGGGUUGUAAACUGCUUUUGUACGGAACGAAACGGUCCUGGUUAAUACCUGGGGCUAAUGACGGUACCGUAAGAAUAAGCACCGGCUAACUACGUGCCAGCAGCCGCGGUAAUACGUAGGGUGCGAGCGUUAAUCGGAAUUACUGGGCGUAAAGCGUGCGCAGGCGGUGCUGUAAGACAGGCGUGAAAUCCCCGGGCUCAACCGUGGAAUUGCGCUUGUGACUGCAGUGCUGGAGUACGGCAGAGGGGGAUGGAAUUCCGCGUGUAGCAGUGAAAUGCGUAGAUAUGCGGAGGAACACCGAUGGCGAAGGCAGUCCCCUGGGCCUGUACUGACGCUCAUGCACGAAAGCGUGGGGAGCAAACAGGAUUAGAUACCCUUGUAGUCC
rnacentral:rRNA from 1 species